UUUGAUCAAACAUUUGUCUAUACAUAAUGAAAAUCAGAAAAUGUGAUGAUAAUUUAAUGAGAUUUCUUAUAGUGUAUAAGCGCGAAAAUUUGACAUUUCUCUGUCAUCAAGGGAAAAGAAUCUCCCCUCUAUUUAAGGAGAAAAAGAUUGAGAAUGAAACAAAUAUAAAUCCAAAUACGUGUUGAUAAGAAAUUGGAAUGGCAAGACAUAACUUUUUUUUUAAUUCGACAUGUGCGAAUCUACUUUCUUCUUUUAUAAACAAAAAAACAAUUCGACAAACACCUAUAUUUUUACGAAAUCAACAGUUGAGUUUAAUUUGAAAAAAUCUAAAUAAACGCCACUCUAGAGUUUUUAAUCAAUAGAUCAAUCUUUAGACCGAUGAGACAAAGUCCAUUUUAAGAGGAGUUUGGCUAAUCUUAUAAACUGAUCAAAUGGACUCACACACAUUUUUUGGUUUUAACUACGAACUUGGUUAAUGUUUAAAGUGCUUAUAAGCUAAAAUCAGUCAUAAAUCAUAAAGUGGUCACCCCCAACUGAUGACUUUUCAGCUUAUAAGCACUUUUAGUUUGAUCAAGACUUCUACUAGUUUAUCCUUAAUAAUAUUUCGUAAUUCACAAAAUACUUUUUCCAAAAUAAGUUUUCUAACUUUCCCUUCAUUCUAUAUUCAUUUUUACCACUUUCGUUACAAAAAAGCUUUUUAAUUUAUAAUCUUUUGUAAAGUUUUAAACGGUAUUCUACUCUUUUUAAUAAAAGAACAACUUAUCAAUAUUUUUAACCAAACACAUCAACGACGUAUUAUCAAUUUCAACAUUUCUAUUCAAACACGUAAAUACUUAUUUAAAAACUCAAUUUCAACUCUUAAAAAUAUUUUUUAACACUUCAAGUUUAUCAACCAUUUACAAUCAGGUAAUCCAAACGAGCUCUAAGUCUACUUUUCUUGCAAGAAACAGCGAUGACUAAAUAUGUAUAGACAAUCGUAGCUUAAUUUUUUUAUUUUGUCAAAAAGGCUUUUGAAAGGUGUUAUUGAUUUAGAAUAGAAAAAAAAAAAACAAAAAAAAGGAAUAGACCAAACUUGAAAUAGAAUGCCCAAAGUAAAAGUUUUGAUGCAAAUAGAAAAAAAGUUGAGACAACGACUUUCCCUGUAGACAACGACUGCUUUGUCCCCACACUUACUUGAAUGCUUCAUGAAAUGAUAGUUAGGUCCACUAAUUUACCAAUCAGACAAUACAUACAAACCACGAGAUCACUCUCUACCACUGCGCCAUUUAUGAUACGACAAAAAUAAAUGUCGUUAUAGUGCCAUCUAUCUAUUUCACACUAAAAUGGAAGAUUCUUCCUCCUCUUUCCAUUUUCAAAAGUUUAUAGAAAGUAGUAGACAGUAAAAUUUGGAAGUGUAGCUCCUCACAUGCGACUUAUAAAUAAGUUCAAAAUAUACCUAACAUAUGACGGAUCCCACAUAAGAUUCUUUAUCAACCAGGAAAAAAUAAUAUUUUUUUUUCUCAUGUAAUUUCAAGACAUAUUGGUUGUUAAAUUCUUGAAUAUAAUAAGCAUCCACAUAUAACUAACAUGACAAUAUUUUAAGUUAUAUUGGUAUAAGAUUGACUUAAAUGGAGCGACAUGGACAAUAAAACUAUAUAACUAAUCUCAACUUGUUUAGUGUUUUACUAAUACAUAAUAAUAAUUGUUACUCCUAUAACAAACAUGUAAAUGUCUUACAUUAAUUAAGAAUCAUCUGGCUUGCAGAAGUCAAGAAAGUUACACUAAUGAGGUGUCCGGCGAGUCUAAUUUUAUUGAAAUUCUUAAUCUAUAUGUUAGCAUUCACUUGUGGAAAAAGAAUAGUACUCCUCAUUUUGUGCAAAGUUCUGCAGAGUUCACCACGCAAUGGUUUUUUUUCUCAAGUACUUAUAUUUGUAAAUCUUCAAAAUAAUACUAAAUCAAUAUUUUAGCAUUCACUUGUGGAAAAGAAUAGUACUCCACAUUUUGUGCAAACAUCUGCAGAGUUCAACACGCAAUGGUUAUUUUUCUUAAGUACUUAUAUUUGUAAAUCUUCAAAAUAAUACUAAAUCAAUAUUUUAAUGUGUGUGUAUGUAUAUACAAUCAUAUCUCACUAUGAUAGUAUCCCUAUAUUACAAUUAUUCGCUAUAAAUAAAAGCCAAAAUUUUCUCAGAACUAAUUUUUAUGUUAUAUUAUAAUAUAUGUCCUCUAUAACAACACUUCACUAUAACAGUUAAAAAAUACCGAAACAAACGAGUAGUAGAAGUAGAAAGUAGUAGUAGUAGGUAUGAUGGUUUUCAGCAUUGAUUGAUUAAAAGUCUUGGAUUUGCCUCAAUUAUAGGAAGGGAGAAUCACCAUGUAACACCCUAAAAACAAAUAAUAAGAAGGAGAGAAGAGGAAAUCUCACUAUCUUGUUCAGCAAAGUCAAUGCUAAACUCUCUGAUUCUCGUGCAGCAGGCUAAUGUCCGUCUCAUGAUCACCAUACUUCAUUAAUAUUGCCCAAAAUGUGCCUCAAAUAUUAGGAGAGCUAGUAGGCAAUUUGGACCUCAUGCAUUAUUGAGCCUGCAAUAUAAGAUGCAGUUGAAAUAGACUAAACAUGGAAAAUACAAGUUAAUGCUACUACAUCUAAAUUAUUUCAAAAGUUGAGGAAAAAAAUUUACUAUCUUCCAAACGAAAGAAAUCAGUAGAAAAAAGACUUGGAAAUCCUUAUUUGGAAAUUCCCAUUUGCAUUAUUCUGGUGCUUGGUGUAAAUUGCAACUUCUGGUAUAAAACUAGACAUUUAUUUUGUUCACAUUCAGUAUUUAGAUCAAACCAAUAAAUGCUAGAAGUAUAUAUACUUUUAUUUUUAACCAUAAUUAAGUAAUACUCCAAUUUGUAACUCUUAGGGGUCAUUUGGUACUUGGGAUAAGUAUACUAAUUUCGGGAUGAAAUGUGAAAUUAUAUUUGGUUAUGAGUAUUAGCUAGUAAUGAGAUAAAUUUAUCUUAAAUGGUGAAAUUAGUUAUCCAUAUUGAAGGUGAGAUACCUCAUCCCAUGAAAUAUGUUUUAUCUGUUCCACCUGGUAACCAAACGAACCCUUAAGAUUCAGCUGUUUAAUUUGAGAUAAACACCUGGCCAUGUUAAUCUCAAAGCAGACGAAUUCAAUAUGAGAAUUUGCUCCAUUUCCAAAUAUAGAAAUUUGAUGCAGCUACCCGCGGGUUCGAACCCGGCAACGGCGUUAUCUUUUAUGGUUAAAUUUUUUCUGGACAGCUAAAUGUGUUUGUUUUAGCUGUGGUUUAAUUUGUAAAUAUGUACCUUGGUGAUUAAUAAAAUUACUUUAGUUACCAAAAAAGAUUGAUGCCAGAAUUUAGACACAAAAACAAAUUAAAAAAGGGAAAAAGGGUUAGAACUGCUCCUAACGUAUUGACUCCA
rnacentral:lncRNA from 1 species